UAAUACAAAUCUACAAAGCCACUAAAUU
rnacentral:sRNA from 1 species